GAUGAACGCUGGCGGCGUGCUUAACACAUGCAAGUCGAACGAUGAAGCCCAGCUUGCUGGGUGGGUUAGUGGCGAACGGGUGAGUAACACGUGAGUAACCUGCCCUUAACUCUGGGAUACUCCUGGACAACUUGGUCUAAUACCUGUUAGGAGCGUCCACCGCAUGGUGGCUGUUGGGGAGAUUUAUCGGUUUUGGCUGGACUCGCGGCCUAUCAGCGUGUUGGUGGGGUGAUGGCUCACCAAGGCGACGACGGGUAGCCGGCCUGAGAGGGUGACCGGCCACACUGGGACUGAGACACGGCGCAGAAUCCUACGGGAGGCAGCAGUGGGGAAUAGUGCACAAUGGGCGCAAGCCUGAUGGAGCGAAGCCGCGUGAGGGAUGACGGCCUUCGGGUUGUAAACCUCUUUCAGUAGGGAAGAAGCGAAAGUGACGGUACCUGCAGAAGAAGCACCGGCUAACUACGUG
rnacentral:rRNA from 1 species